CCUACGGGUGCAGCAGUGGGGAAUAUUGGACAAUGGGCGAAAGCCUGAUCCAGCCAUGCCGCGUGUGUGAAGAAGGCCUUCGGGUUGUAAAGCACUUUCAGUGGGGAAGAAAGCCUUGGGGCUAAUACCCUCGAGGAAGGACAUCACCCACAGAAGAAGCACCGGCUAACUCCGUGCCAGCAGCCGUGGUAAUACGGAGGGUGCGAGCGUUAAUCGGAAUUACUGGGCGUAAAGCGCGCGUAGGCGGUCUGAUAAGCCGGUUGUGAAAGCCCCGGGCUCAACCUGGGAACGGCAUCCGGAACUGUCAGGCUAGAGUGCAGGAGAGGAAGGUAGAAUUCCCGGUGUAGCGGUGAAAUGCGUAGAGAUCGGGAGGAAUACCAGUGGCGAAGGCGGCCUUCUGGACUGACACUGACGCUGAGGUGCGAAAGCGUGGGUAGCAAACAGGAUUAGAUACCCUAGUAGUC
rnacentral:rRNA from 1 species